GAGUUCACUUUCUUUUCCUCCCCCGCGCUCUCCCCCUCUCCCUUCCCGCCGGCCCCCUGGAAGCCUCCGGCUCGGCCGGAGAGGCCGGGCCGGAGUUUUCGGUUUUCGGCGGGGGGAGCCGGAGGACGGCUGGCGGCGAGGGAGGAGGAAGAGGGAGCGGGAAAGGUGAGGCGAGCGGGGCGCGGUGCCAGGGAGCGGCAUCCAGGACCUUAAUUGUGCGACGGGGGGACGCGCCGGGCCGAGUGUGCCCGAGACCAGGCGCGUACACGUGUCCGUGUGUGUGCGUGUGUAUGUGUGUGUGCGCGCGCGGGUGUGUGUGCCAGAGGAGGCGAGCCUACCAUGCGCUUCCCCCGGUGCAGAUCGCGGGAGAGCCCAAUCACGGGGCGAGCUGGACCGGGCUGUGAUCAUUUAUAAUCCUGGACUCCUCCGCUCCGCCACUUGUCAAGAUGACAGGUACUUUAUUUCUUCUUCUUCUUAAUUCAAGAAAAAAAAAAAAGAGAGAUUCCCCGUUUACUGCCGUUUUCUGUCAAAUGGGAUUUGCCGGACUGAACCACGUUCGCCGCCCCUCCCUUCUCCCCUCCUCCAGGCCGCGUCGGGUACGGGAAAGCUCCGAGGCUCCCAUGCUGUGACCAAUCAGUGCCUCUACUACUCUUGCCGUGAUUUAGGGGUCAUCCAUGAAUAACACUUCACGCUGAUGAAUGGCUCUUGCAGGCUUUCGGCUCUGAUGAGGGGUCUGCCCGCCGCUGAUUGCAAACACUAAUGAACUCCCAGCGCCAUUUGAAAUUCACACGCACCUACAAAGUGCGGGGGUACGUGCGUGCGGGGGUGGGGGGCGGAGGGGUCUGUCCUUUUCUUCUCCCGGCCGCGCGCGCGCGCGCGCGCGCGGGGAGCGGGGUCGGGGAGGGGGGAAGGGGCGGGUAAUUGCUUUGGACCGAGGUGGAAACACUUCUGUGUGUAAUCAAACCUCUAACCUUCUUAGAAAACUACUUUUCUUGAUCUUUCAUAGGGUGGGCAUUUCAGGUCAGCUGAGUCACCCGAGGAGGUAGGAGUGCAAGACACUGCCGGGAAGAUGGAUUCCGAGGCAGAAGGGUGUAAUUAAGGAUUUCCACUCCCGGUAGGCGGCCCGUCCUUUACAUGAGGAUCUGAAAAUGACCUGCGCCUUCCCCUCCAGAGUGUCCUCUCGUCCCAGACUGAAAAGCGCAAAUGACCUUCGCACGCG
rnacentral:lncRNA from 1 species